AUACCCUAUUAUUAAUUGUUUAAAUUAAAUUUGCCUGAAUAUUAAAAGUUAAGUUCUUUAAAACUCAAAGAAUUUGGCGGUAAUUUUUCUUUUUAGGGGAACCUGUAUUAUAAUCGAUAAUCCACGAUAGUUUUUACUUUAAGUUAUUAUUUGUAUACCUCUAUUAUAUUAGGAUGUUUUAUAAAGAAUAUUUUCUUUUUUACUUAUGAUAUUUAAUUUUAGGUCAAGGUGCAGUUUUCUUAAAGUAAAUAUGGGUUACUUUAAUUUUAAAUUUCUUUUAAUUUUAUUUAAUAAUAAAUAUUUAUUAAUAGGACUUAAUAGUAAAUUUAAUUAAUUAAUUAAUUUGAAUCUAGCUCUAGAUUAUGUACACAUC
rnacentral:rRNA from 1 species